AUUUGUUGCAUUUUUGUGGCUACUCGCGGCCAAGACAAUCGCGGUGCGAGUGUCAUUUUGCUGUGGACACUAGGAAGGAUAACAGGAAACAUUAAUCCUCUGUAGUCGGAUUUAUCAUUAGAUGCUUUUCGAUAUGUUCUUAUGGAUUGCCACGAGUAUGCUGGCUUAAUGUUCAAUCCACCAUUUCUUCUCUUCCAUGAUUUGUACGAGCUAAGCUGCAGCCCAUGUAUCGUUCGAAUUGAGGAUCACUGUGUGCCCCAGUACUUAUGCUGACCACCUUUCGUCGGUGUAAGGAGGCUUGCUCACUUGCGGGGAUAUUUUGGCCGAUUUUUAAUUAACGAUAACUAAAAAACAAAGCAGAAGGCGAAAUUUUUUUCUUUGAGUUUCGACGUCAAGAAUCACCACUUAAAUAUUGGGAAACCUGUAGCGGAACAUCCUGUGUAUAGCUUUUACGCAGUGAAAUGAGCAACAUACAUGGAACAAAAAUAUGUAUAAAAAAAAAUAAGUUUUUGUUUCAUAUCUAUGAAAUAUGCUACAAAAGAAAUAAACUGUAAUAACAUCCGUUGAUGCGAACAUAAAAAUCACGAAAA